rnacentral:sRNA from 1 species
GCCGGGUGUGGUGGCACAUGCCUGUAAUCCCAGAAGCUUGGGAGGCUGAGGCAGGAGGCUCGUGAGUUCAAAGUCAGUGUUACCAACUUAGCGAGACUCUGUUUCUA